AUAGUCUUACGAAAUCAGUCUUUGUCAUCUCUGUUCUCCACCAUCGGCUCUACCAUUAUGCAGCUCUCUCUUUAGGGUGUUUUAAGAGAUUCAGCCUGGUAAAGGACUAAAUCCCAAAGGCUCAAAUAUUUUUAGAGUAUUUUCUCAAAUAUCUGUGGCUGUGCUACUGAGUACUGACUAUAUUUGAUAUUACUAGAAGACUAUGCUAGAAAUAUAAAACAUUAUUGUUAAAUGUUAAUGUUGCUACCUUGCUGAAAUGAUCUUAUUAUGGUUGAGACUUGAUAGUUUAUAAUUGUGUGUUUGAUUAGGAAUGCUGUGACAGGUAGAGAUUUGUUAAUGUGUGUUAAUGUGUUUAAUUUGACAGGAUGAGAUUUAUAGUCUUAUCAUGAUUGAGACUGGAUAUUUUAUAAUCGUGUAUGGUUGAGACUUGAGACUUUAUAAUUGUAUUUGAUUUGGAAUGUUGUGACA